AGUGAACGCUGGCGGCGUGCUUAACACAUGCAAGUCGAACGAGAACGGGUUAUAGCUUGCUAUAAUUGUCAGCUAAGUGGCGCACGGGUGAGUAAUGUAUAGGUAAUAUGCCUCUUACUAAGGGAUAACAAAUGGAAACGUUUGCUAAUACCUUAUACUCCUUAUUAACAUAAGUUAAUAAGGGAAAGAUUUAUUGGUAAGAGAUUAGCCUGUAUUGUAUCAGUUAGUUGGUGGGGUAAUGGCUUACCAAGACUAUGACACAUAACUGGUUUGAGAGGAUGAUCAGUCACACUGGAACUGAGACACGGUCCAGACUCCUACGGGAGGCAGCAGUGGGGAAUAUUGCACAAUGGACGAAAGUCUGAUGCAGCAACGCCGCGUGGAGGAUGACACAUUUCGGUGCGUAAACUCCUUUUAUAUGAGAAGAUAAUGACGGUAUUAUAUGAAUAAGCACCGGCUAACUCCGUGCCAGCCGCCGCUUAAUAC
rnacentral:rRNA from 1 species